CAGUGGUGCAACCUUCUUUCAUGACCGUGCUGUUUCCGUUUGGUUUUAAACAUAUUGCUUCUUCAUUAAACCCCAAAUCCAGCAACUCGAGCAAUUAUGGAUUUUGCUGGAGGAGAGGAGGAAGAAGAUGAUUACAUGUCGGAUGCCUUCAUCAACUCACUGCAGGACAUUCGACCAGGAAUGCCCCUGUUAAGGAGGGUAAAGCAAUCAUAUACGAAGGAAGAAAAAGAAAAGGAGACUAAUCUGAAAAAUAGACAAAAAAGUAUAAAAGAGGUGGAAAAAGAAAGAAGGGAAACAGUUCUCGGCGAGGCUCUGGGCAAUGACAACAAAGGUUUUGCUUUGCUUCAGAAGAUGGGCUACAAAAAAGGACAAGCCUUAGGCAAAAAAGGUGACGGUAUUGUUGAACCUAUUCCUCUCAAGUUAAAAACUGAUCGUGGUGGUAUUGGCCAUGAAGAAAUGAAGAAGAGGAAAGCAGCAGAAGAUCUAGAAAAUUAUAGGAGAAAGAUUCAGAUGAGCAAAUGUAAUGAGGAGCAAGCAGCAGAUGAUUUCAGGCUGAGAAUGAAAAGUAAAAAAGAGAAAUUAAAGCAGCAAGCUGACCUUAGUAGGAGCCAAAGAGCAUGUCUGCAGCUAGAUGAACAAAAGGGAGUGCAAACGCCUCGAGAGAGUUGGUAUUGGCCAGCAACUGAGGAUGAAGAGGAGGAUGAAGAGGAGGAUGAAGAGGAGGAUGAAGAAGUAGAGGAAGAAGACGAUGACCCAGGAGAAGAUCUGAAUACUCUAGACAAAUUACAAAUUCUCACCAGCUAUUUGAGGGGAGAGCAUUUUUAUUGCGUCUGGUGCGGAACAGCUUAUCAAGAUGAGAAUGAUUUGUGUGCAAAUUGCCCAGGGAACACCUCUGAAGAUCAUGAUUGAGAGUGUCCGCUUUAAUGAACAAAUGCUGAAAAACUCUGUCCAAGACCAUUAGCAUUAUUGUAAAUAAUGAAAGUCAUUAUUUAUAAACUAAUUGUGGAUUUAUUCUCUGCUCUUACACAUGAACUCUUUUGUCUUGAAUUUCGGAAAUGCAGAAACCUUGAUUAAUCCAGAAUUACCCUUGGUAUGAAGAAUUUGUAGAACAUGUUAUGGUUGCACAUUUAAACAAAAAUAAACAUUUUUUUUUAUAAUUAUACUUUUUUUUUAUAUAUGUAAAAGGCCAUAGGCCUGAAUUUGUGGGAGGAGUUUUCCCUAUAAAAACUCUACCCCCCUGCUUACCUAUGCUGGUUCCUGUAAGAAGUGACCCCUCCCACCACUCCCUCUAAUAAUUUUACUAUCAUCAUUACAUUACCUCUGGUGGGCCCUCUUUAUUACAGGCCUACCCGUACGUUGGUAUCGGCACACCACUACCAACUUUCCUCCCUCUUCUCUAUUUUCAUAUACGAAUUAAGUUCCGACUACAAAUAUAUUUAAUGCUACAGGAAGAACUCUCUGAUAUAUGGGAUAGAGCAAUGCAAUUAAGAACAUUUUAAAAUUUACAUUCUUAUUACAAAUCCGCUUAAACAAGCCACAAGAAUGCGUAAUAUUAUGCUUGUGUUUGUGUUGUAUUUGUUUCUUUGAGGCUUUUAUGAGUGAUUGAUUGUAAAUAUCAAAACUGGCAUUAUUCAAACUUUUUUUUGUAUAGAUCUCACUGUUUAAUGACAAUUAUUUGUUACAUAUGUGUUUCAAGCUAUAUAAAAGCCUAUAUGUGCUACUUCCAUUGUAUCUGAUGAAGUGUCGCUAGGGGACUAGAGGUGUAGGGCGUUAGGGGGUAGAUCCAGAUUUCCCCCUGUGUGUCUAAGCCAUGUCAUGUUCAUUAAUAAAAGUAUGAUUCAUUUUCUUUUACCAUUAAAGUUUAUUGAGGUGUUCAUCUUUA